UACAGAGGGUGCGAGCGUUUGUUCGGAAUUACUGGGCGUAAAGGGCGCGUAGGCGGUCUUGUAAGUCUUGUGUGAAAUCCCUCGGCUUAACUGAGGAACUGCACGGGAUACUGCGAGACUUGAGAUCGGGAGAGGGAAGCGGAAUUCCGGGUGUAGUGGUGAAAUGCGUAGAGAUCCGGAGGAACACCAGUGGCGAAGGCGACACGCUGGGCCGUACCUGACACUGAUGCGCGACAGCAUGGGGAGCAAACAGG
rnacentral:rRNA from 1 species